AUGCCUCUGUGGACUUCACCAAGAAAGACUGGGGUUGCUGGACUCUGUUCAGAGGAAGCUGCACGGAGCUGUGAUGCUGGAGAAUUACCGCCCCUUUGUCUCAGCGAAGUCUUCUGUUCGCAGCAUGAUACUGGAGGGUGCCACCCUCAGCUGACGCUCCGUCCUUUUUUGCUGCAUGUGUAUUCAGCUUACAGGGGACAUCUCUGCUGAUUGGGCUUGGGAUGAAUCUAAUAAGAACCCAGCUGGAGACUUGAAUGAAACUUUUGUGGAAAAUGAAGAUAAAGUACUUACGUUAUCUGUUACCUCAGGAGCUUUCCUGCUGGCAAAUUUUGGACCAGGUGGCUUAGUACAGUAAGGAGGAGUCAGAAUUAAAUUGUGAAUAUUCAGAGGGAGGUGUAAGUAACCCUGAACUGGAUCUUUCUACUUGUCAGAAGUGGAGAAAAGUAUCUUCUCAUAUUUCCAGGAACCACAAGCAGUGUGGUGACUCUUCA
rnacentral:lncRNA from 1 species